AUAUUAAUCUACCUAGUGCCAUGAACACUUGUGGAAUUCCAGCACAUAUGAUAUGAGUAUCUUCUAGUUUUUUCUAGUUCUUGAUUUUCUGACUAUUGGCACCACAAAUCAUUAAUUUUCAAUACAAACAAGAAAGUCAUUGAAUCAAAUUACGUAAUCCAAUCCGUUUUACUUUUAAUAUUUCUUUUUCGACCCAUAAAAGGAAAAAAAUUUCAAAUUUGCUGACCCAACAAAGACUUACAAAAACAAAAACAAAAUACAAAUUAUCGUGUUUUCCGAUUUACAUGGAGUGGCUGCGUCUGUUGUUGUGGUUGUUAACAUCGUUAGCAAUAACAAAUCAUGUUUCAUGUUCAUUUUCAUGGGAUUUGGAGGCUGGUCCGAGUUUGGAGCUGAGUCAACUAAGUCGGGAGCUGCUGGACUCGGCGAGGCAGCCCGAGUUCUUUGAUUGGUUGAAAAGGGUUAGGAGGAGGAUCCACGAGAACCCAGAGCUGGCCUUCGAGGAGCACGAGACGAGUCAACUCAUUAGAUCGGAGCUCGACUCGCUGGGGAUCCAGUACACGUGGCCGGUGGCGAAGACUGGGUUGGUGGCUUCUAUUGGCUCUGGGGCGCAGCCAUGGUUCGCUCUGAGGGCCGACAUGGAUGCUCUCCCAAUUCAGGAAUUGGUUGAAUGGGAGCACAAGAGCAGGAACCCUGGAAAGAUGCUCAUGUAACAAUGCUGCUUGGAGCAGCUAAGUUACUUCAGAGCAAAAGCAAAGAAAUAAAGGGCACAAUCAAGCUUGUUUUUCAACCUGGAGAAGAGGAACAUGCAGGGGCUUACCAUAUGAUAAAAGAGGGUGCUCUUGAUAAGAUUCAAGGCAUUUUUGGGUUACAUAUUCAACCUCUAAUGCCCGUUGGUACUAUUGGUUCCAGGCCAGGUCCAAUUCUUGCAGGCUCUGGUAGAUUUUCAGUCACAAUUCAUGGAAAAGGUGGGCAUGCUGCGUUUCCCCAUUUGGCCACAGAUCCAAUUCUUGCUGCCUGCUCGGCCAUCCUUGCCCUUCAACAGCUUAUUUCUAGAGAAACAGACCCUCUAGAUGCCAGGGUGGUUACUGUUGGGAUGAUUGAGGGUGGCCAAGCAGCAAAUAUAAUCCCAGAGACAGUGAGACUUAAGGGCACUUUUCGAAGCAUGACUUCAGAAGGUCUAAACUACCUUCAGCAAAGGAUUCAAGAGGUCAUAGAGAUACAGGCUUCGGUGCACGGGUGCACAGCAACGGUAGACUUCAUGCUGGAAAAAAUGAAGCCCUAUCCAGCCACAGUUAAUGAUGAAGCAAUGUACAAACAUGCAAAGAAUGUGGGAGAAACUUUGCUUGGUGAACCAAAUGUGAAGCUUUUUCCAAUGUCUAUGGGAGCAGAGGACUUCAGCUUUUACACAGAAAAAAUGGCAGCUGCAUUCUUCAUGAUUGGGACAAAGAACGAGACUUUGGACCCAAAUACAAUUUGGCAUUCACCCAAUUUGGUAAUUGAUGAGGAGGUUCUUCCAAUAGGAGCUGCCCUUCAUGCUGCUGUUGCAAUUUCUUACUUAUAAUAUUGCUGCUGCUGUAACUUAUUAGAAAUCUUUUAACUAGUUUGGUACUGUUGUACUUUUAAAAAAAAAAAAAAAAAAAAAAACUGCUUCCGCUAUGCUAUGAGAAUAAUCAGCUAUGAAAUAAAGUAGUUAGGUAUUUGAUAAACUGUAUAUGGAAAAGUGUGUGAGUAGUCAAAGUGUUGUAUCAAAAGUACUUUUAGCAUGCAUAAUGACCAAAAAGAACAUUAUAAAGAAACAAUUACUUUUUGGAUGA